rnacentral:rRNA from 1 species
GGGAAUAUUGGACAAUGGAGGCAACUCUGAUCCAGCCAUGCCGCGUGAAUGACGAAGGCCUUCGGGUUGUAAAGUUCUUUUAGUGGGGAAAAUAAUGAUGGUACCCGCAGAAAAAGCUCCGGCUAACUUCGUGCCAGCAGCCGCGGUAAUACGAAGGGGGCUAGCGUUGUUCGGAAUUACUGGGCGUAAAGCGUUUGUAGGCGGUUAUACAAGUCAGGGGUGAAAUCCCAGAGCUUAACUCUGGAAUUGCCUUUGAAACUGUAUAGCUAGAGAAUGUUAGAGGUAAGUGGAAUUCCUAGUGUAGGAGUGAAAUCCGUAGAGAUUAGGAAGAAUAUCGAUGGCGAAGGCAGCUUACUGGGACAUUUCUGACGCUGAGGUGCGAAAGCGUGGGGAGCAAAC